rnacentral:rRNA from 1 species
GACGUAGGGCGCGAGCGUUGUCCGGAUUUAUUGGGCGUAAAGAGCUCGUAGGCGGUCUGUUGCGUCCGCUGUGAAAACCCGGGGCUUAACCCUGGGCUGGCAGUGGAUACGGACAGACUAGAGGUAGGUAGGGGAGAAUGGAAUUCCCGGUGUAGCGGUGAAAUGCGCAGAUAUCGGGAGGAACACCGGUGGCGAAGGCGGUUCUCUGGGCCUUACCUGACGCUGAGGAGCGAAGGCCAGGGGAGCAAACGGG